rnacentral:rRNA from 1 species
CCUUACACAUGCAAGUCGAACGGCAGCAUGAUCUAGCUUGCUAGAUUGAUGGCGAGUGGCGAACGGGUGAGUAAUACAUCGGAACGUGCCCUGUAGUGGGGGAUAACUAGUCGAAAGAUUAGCUAAUACCGCAUACGACCUGAGGGUGAAAGUGGGGGACCGCAAGGCCUCAUGCUAUAGGAGCGGCCGAUGUCUGAUUAGCUAGUUGGUGGGGUAAAGGCCCACCAAGGCGACGAUCAGUAGCUGGUCUGAGAGGACGAUCAGCCACACUGGGACUGAGACACGGCCCAGACUCCUACGGGAGGCAGCAGUGGGGAAUUUUGGACAAUGGGCGAAAGCCUGAUCCAGCAAUGCCGCGUGUGUGAAGAAGGCCUUCGGGUUGUAAAGCACUUUUGUCCGGAAAGAAAUGGCUCUGGUUAAUACCUGGGGUCGAUGACGGUACCGGAAGAAUAAGGACCGGCUAACUACGUGCCAGCAGCCGCGGUAAUACGUAGGGUCCAAGCGUUAAUCGGAAUUACUGGGCGUAAAGCGUGCGCAGGCGGUUGUGCAAGACCGAUGUG